AAUAAGAGGUCCCGCCUGCCCUGUGACUAUAUGUUUAACGGCCGCGGUAUUUUGACCGUGCGAAGGUAGCGCAAUCACUUGUCUUUUAAAUGGAGACCUGUAUGAAUGGCAUAACGAGGGCUUAACUGUCUCCUUUUUCAAGUCAAUGAAAUUGAUCUCCCCGUGCAGAAGCGGGGAUAAUAACAUAAGACGAGAAGACCCUAUGGAGCUUUAGACACCAAAGCAGACUAUGUUAAAGGCCCCCAAACAAGGGACUAAACAAGGUAACUCCUGCCCUAAUGUCUUUGGUUGGGGCGACCGCGGGGAAUCAUAUAACCCCCAUGUGGAACGGGAGUAUCACUCCUACAACUAAGAGCUACCGCUCUAAGUAACAGAACAUCUGACCAAACAGAUCCGGCCUUAAGCCGAUCAACGGACCGAGUUACCCUAGGGAUAACAGCGCAAUCCCCUUCUAGAGCCCAUAUCGACAAGGGGGUUUACGACCUCGAUGUUGGAUCAGGACAUCCUAAUGGUGCAGCCGCUAUUAAGGGUUCGUUUGUUCAACGAUUAAAGUCCU
rnacentral:rRNA from 1 species